rnacentral:rRNA from 1 species
AGAGUUUGAUCCUGGCUCAGAACGAACGCUGGCGGCAGGCUUAACACAUGCAAGUCGAACGCCCCGCAAGGGGAGUGGCAGACGGGUGAGUAACGCGUGGGAACAUACCCUUUCCUGCGGAAUAGCUCCGGGAAACUGGAAUUAAUACCGCAUACGCCCUACGGGGGAAAGAUUUAUCGGGGAAGGAUUGGCCCGCGUUGGAUUAGCUAGUUGGUGGGGUAAAGGCCUACCAAGGCGACGAUCCAUAGCUGGUCUGAGAGGAUGAUCAGCCACAUUGGGACUGAGACACGGCCCAAACUCCUACGGGAGGCAGCAGUGGGGAAUAUUGGACAAUGGGCGCAAGCCUGAUCCAGCCAUGCCGCGUGAGUGAUGAAGGCCUUAGGGUUGUAAAGCUCUUUCACCGGAGAAGAUAAUGACGGAUCCGAGAAGA